rnacentral:rRNA from 1 species
CCUACGGGAGGCAGCAGUGAGGAAUAUUGGUCAAUGGACGCAAGUCUGAACCAGCCAUGUCGCGUGCAGGAAGACGGCCCUAUGAGUUGUAAACUGCUUUUGUACGAGGGUAAAUCCCGACACGUGUGUCGGGUUGAAAGUAUCUUACGAAUAAGGAUCGGCUAACUCCGUGCCAGCAGCCGCGGUAAUACGGAGGAUUCAAGCUUUAGCCGGAUUUAUUUGGUUUAAAGGGUGCGUAGGCGGUUAGUUAAGUUAGUGGUGAAAUUCCGGGGCUCAACCCCGGCACUGCCUCUGAUACUGGCAGUCUAGAGUUUAGUUGCGGUAGGCGGAAUGUAUGGUGUAGCGGUGAAAUGCAUAGAGAUCAUACAGAACCCCGAUUGCGAAGGCAGCUUACCAAACUACGACUGACGUUGAGGCACGAAAGCGUGGGGAUCAAACAGGAUUAGAUACCCGAGUAGUC